UAGGGAAUAUUGCGCAAUGGGGGAAACCCUGACGCAGCAACGCCGCGUGAGUGAGGAAGGUCUUCGGAUUGUAAAACUCUUUUCUUAGGGAAAAAUGAUCUAGUGGUUAAUACCCAUUAGAAGUGAUGGUACCUAAGGAAUAAGCACCGGCUAACUUCGUGCCAGCAGCCGCGGUAAUACGAAGGGUGCAAGCGUUGUUCGGAAUCAUUGGGCGUAAAGCGAGCGCAGGCGGAUCAGCAAGUCAGGUGUGAAAUCUCGAGGCUCAACCUCGAAACUGCGCCUGAAACUGCUAGUCUAGAAUGUCGGAGGGGGUAGGGGAAUUUCACGUGUAGGGGUAAAAUCCGUAGAGAUGUGAAGGAACACCGGUGGCGAAGGCGCCUACCUGGACGACUAUUGACGCUGAGGCUCGAAAGCGUGGGGAGCAAACAGG
rnacentral:rRNA from 1 species